GACGAACGCUGGCGGCGUGCCUAAUACAUGCAAGUAGAACGCACAGUUUAUACCGUAGCUUGCUACACCAUAGACUGUGAGUUGCGAACGGGUGAGUAACGCGUAGGUAACCUGCCUGGUAGCGGGGGAUAACUAUUGGAAACGAUAGCUAAUACCGCAUAAUAUUAAUUAUUGCAUGAUAAUUAAUUGAAAGGUGCAAUUGCACCACUACCAGAUGGACCUGCGUUGUAUUAGCUAGUAGGUGAGGUAACGGCUCACCUAGGCGACGAUACAUAGCCGACCUGAGAGGGUGAUCGGCCACACUGGGACUGAGACACGGCCCAGACUCCUACGGGAGGCAGCAGUAGGGAAUCUUCGGCAAUGGACGAAAGUCUGACCGAGCAACGCCGCGUGAGUGAAGAAGGUUUUCGGAUCGUAAAGCUCUGUUGUAAGAGAAGAACGGGUGUGAGAGUGGAAAGUUCACACUGUGACGGUAUCUUACCAGAAAGAGACGGCUAACUACGUG
rnacentral:rRNA from 1 species